GUCUAGAGCCACGCCCCUUAGCCUGGGGCAUCCAUGAAUAGACUGGGCUGCCCCCAUAUCAAACCGGAAAGCAAAGCCUCCUGGGUAUCUCUGGCUUAGAGACCCGCUGGGAAAUUGCCACCAGGGUCUCCCUUGCUGGAAGCUUCGGAGUGACAUGAGAUCUCAGGCCCUGCUUGGACCUUCUGACCCCUCAACUUUAUCUUAAGAGCCCAGGGGAUCUGGGCAGUGCCCCCAGAGCUCCCAUCAGCACCCAGCACCCCUCACCUCCCCGAGAAUCCCCU
rnacentral:lncRNA from 1 species